rnacentral:ncRNA from 1 species
AUUAAAGCUUUGAUGAGAAGAGUAGGUUUAGUAGCCGGUUAAGAGAGUUUCGGCAGCUGUAAAGAAACCCGACGACUAAAAAGAAGAUGAGCUCGGAGCCUGUGUGGCGGUCUUUUGGCUGACACAUCGUUUGCAUACGUUACCUGCAAGAGUAUAGUUUGGCUUAAUUAAUCAUUGCCUCACACCGGUGCUGACCGGUGUGAGUUUCGUUGAGAACAAUAAUUGUGCAGUAAGCCCGACUAAACACUCACUGAGUCCAACAUUGUGAAAUGUUGGUAAAAUCAGGUGGUAUCGUGAAUAAACCGUCACCCUGAAA